rnacentral:rRNA from 1 species
GACGAACGCUGGCGGCGUGCUUAACACAUGCAAGUCGAACGGAAAGGCCCUGCUUUUGUGGGGUGCUCGAGUGGCAAACGGGUGAGUAACACGUGAGUAACCUGCCCUUGACUUUGGGAUAACUUCAGGAAACUGGGGCUAAUACCGGAUAGGAGCUCCUGCUGCAUGGUGGGGGUUGGAAAGUUUCGGCGGUUGGGGAUGGACUCGCGGCUUAUCAGCUUGUUGGUGGGGUAGUGGCUUACCAAGGCUGUGACGGGUAGCCGGCCUGAGAGGGUGACCGGCCACAUUGGGACUGAGAUACGGCCCAGACUCCUACGGGAGGCAGCAGUGGGGAAUAUUGCACAAUGGGCGGAAGCCUGAUGCAGCAACGCCGCGUGCGGGAUGACGGCCUUCGGGUUGUAAACCGCUUUCGCCUGUGACGAAGCGUGAGUGACGGUAAUGGGUAAAGAAGCACCGGCUAACUACGUG